rnacentral:rRNA from 1 species
UACGUAGGGUGCGAGCGUUAAUCGGAAUUACUGGGCGUAAAGCGUGCGUAGGCGGUUUGGCGAGUCCUGUGUGAAAGCCCCGGGCUCAACCUGGGAAUUGCAUGGGAAACUGGCAGGCUUGAGUGUGGCAGAGGAGGGUGGAAUUCCGCGUGUAGCAGUGAAAUGCGUAGAGAUGCGGAGGAACACCGAUGGCGAAGGCAGCCCUCUGGGCCAGCACUGACGCUCAGGCACGAAAGCGUGGGGAGCAAACAGG